UCAUAGGAAGCAAAAAAUUGCAUUUAGUUUCGACCUAAUGUUUGAUAAAACCACCCUAUCCCUAUGCA
rnacentral:tRNA from 1 species